CAGCCGCCGCGGUAAGACAGAGGAUGCAAGCGUUAUCCGGAAUGAUUGGGCGUAAAGCGUCUGUAGGUGGCUUUUCAAGUCCGCCGUCAAAUCCCAGGGCUCAACCCUGGACAGGCGGUGGAAACUACCAAGCUAGAGUACGGUAGGGGCAGAGGGAAUUUCCGGUGGAGCGGUGAAAUGCGUUGAGAUCGAAAAGAACACCAACGACGAAAGCACUCUGCUGGGUCGACACUGACACUGAGAGACGAAAGCUAGGGGAGCAAAUGGGAUUAGAUACCCGGGUAGUCCCUGUCUCUUAUAC
rnacentral:rRNA from 1 species